rnacentral:rRNA from 1 species
GACGAACGCUGGCGGUGUGCUUAACACAUGCAAGUCGAACGGAACUUCCCUGCUUUUGUGGGGUGGUCGAGUGGCGAACGGGUGAGUAACACGUCAGUACCCUGCCCUUCAUUUUCACACACCUUCAUGAAACUUGUGCUAAUACCGGAUAGGAGCCCAUGUGGCAUGGUGGUGGGUGAAGAGUUUAGGCGGUUGGGGCUGGUCUCGCGGGUUCUGAGCUUGUUGGUGGGGUGGAGGCAUACCAAGGCUUUCGCGGGUCGCCCGCCUGAGCGGGUGGUAGGCCCCAUUGGGGGUGAGAUACGGCCCAGACUCCUACGGGAGGCAGCAGUGGGGAAUAUUGUAGAAUGGGCGCAAGCGUCAUGCAGAGACACCGCGUGUGGGAGAAGGACCUUCGGGUUGUAUACCGCGUUCGCCUGUGGAGAAGCGUGAAUGACGGUAAUGGGUGAAGAAGCACCGGCUAACUACGUG